CAGGCAUUAGGUUGAGACUAAACCCACCGCGUGGUCAAAAUCCCCGA
rnacentral:tRNA from 1 species